CAAAUGACUCUCGGCAAUGGAUAUCUCGGCUCUUGCAUCGAUGAAGAACGUAGUGAAAUGCGAUACUUGGUGUGAAUUGCAGAAUCUCGUGAACCAUUGAGUCUUUGAACGCAAGUUGUGCCCGAGGCCUUGUGGCCGAAGGCACGCCUGCUUGGGCGUCAUGGC
rnacentral:rRNA from 1 species